AAAGGAGGAGCAGCCCCUUCAAAAACGAGCUGUGUGCCUGGGCUGUGCCCCCACCACCGGGGCCAGCCCCACACUGGUGCCCCUGCCCUGGUGGGGCCAGGCUAGCUCAGCACGGCUGUCAGAUGAGUGGUCACCCGUGCACCUCCUUCCCUCCCCUUCGCAGCUGAAGGCAGAGUCCUGUGAGUGCCGUGGAGGAGCCAGGGCAGGGGCUGGAGAUCAAAGGACAGCAUCUCAGUGAAGACUCUGACAGCCUGAAGAGAGCCGCAGUGCAGCACUGCGUGUAUUUGACAAGCUGAGUUCGACACUCAGUUUGGCAGAGUGUCAGUUUGUCAAAUACCCCAAGUGAGGCACUUGCUGAGCAACACAGCUGCACACCGAGGGAACUGACUCCUUCUUUGACUUGGGCAGGAGCCUUUGCCUCCGUAUUCUGAUCCUGUACGUAAAUGUGAUGAGGUAUUGAGCAAGCUUGCUGAAUGCCUGACUGAUUCCAUGCUGUCAGGUUUCCUUUCCACCCCAGUUUCGGAAGUGCCUGUUGGGGUGUAAUCCUAACGGCAAACUGUUGCAGAAGUGGUGCUGGUACCAUUCCUCUGUGUUGAGAAAACAGCCAAGGACAAGACUGUUCUAUGUCACAGCACUGGUUAGCAAGCUGUUAAUAAAUAUGCUGUUUGGUUAAUAAAGGUUCUGGCAACUAUAAUCAUA